rnacentral:rRNA from 1 species
AUACGGAGGGUGCAAGCGUUAAUCGGAAUUACUGGGCGUAAAGGGCGCGUAGGCGGUCUAUCAAGUCAGUUGUGAAAUCCCACGGCUCAACCGUGGAGGUGCAUCUGAAACUGAUAGACUUGAGUAUGGGAGAGGAAAGUGGAAUUCCCGGUGUAGAGGUGAAAUUCGUAGAUAUCGGGAGGAACACCAGUGGCGAAGGCGACUUUCUGGACCAAUACUGACGCUGAGGCGCGAAAGCGUGGGGAGCAAACAGGAUUAGAUACCCUUGUAGUCC